UAUCUUGAACCGGAUUUGAACCAGCGACUUAAAGGAUAGCCCGUUGACACAUCUAAAGUCCUCCGCUCUGCCAACUGAGCUAUUGAGAG